GACUGGUUCUGUGGCGGAGGAGGGAGUCUCGGCGGCCUCGAGCCGCUCCCUGGAAUGCUGCCCCCAGGCCCGGCCUUUACUGCUGGAGGUGGAGUCUCAGGGCUUGAGCCCGGCUCUGCCUUCAGGGUCUUUAUAUUGCUUUUUCUUUAUAUUUUCAGCUGCCAUUCAUGUGCCUAGAGAUACUGCGUAUUUUUUGGUUUUAAGUCUAAUUGGAUUUUUUUCCUGCCUUUUUUAAAAAAGAACGACCUGUGCAGCAAUAGAUAUUAGAGAAGACGAAAGGGGAACAUAACACACCUGCCUUCCACAGGCAGUUGUGUAGACGCUUUCUGCGGACAGCCCCGGCCCAACUGCCGCCCAGGCACCUGGAUAGAUAGAGGUGGGCAUCAUCUGGCGGGACCCAGCCUGCAGGAGCCCAGUCUCAGGCCUGCUUUUUGAGGUGAUCCUCAUCUCAUCUCAACCCACAAGGACUUACCCACGGAAAGCCCAGGCCAUGAAAACUCCCUUGGUCUCAGCAACUGGAAAAUCUGUGUCAUCAGAGAUUUCGCUAGAAAAGUCAUCUCUUCCGCUCCCUGCAGUUUUGAAGAAGCAAGGAACAAGUG